UCCAGUGCAGUGUUUCCCUUUUCUGGGAAGUCAGAGACAGCAUGUGUUUAUAUGCACAGCAAGGCUGAUGUGCACUGGAUUUAUGGCACAAAAAUGGAUAUGCAGUGUCUCCAGUGACUCUACACCAGAGAGGGAAAGAGAUAAAAAAAUUUGAGGACUCUCCUGUAACUACAUCAUUACUACAAAGUAAAUGGACUUUUUUUCUGCUGGAUGGUAAACUUAUGUUGAGAACAGUCAUAGCCAGCAAGAAAAGUCUUGAGAUCAACUCUCAUAUCUCAUCUCAUCUUGUCUCAGUCUCUGCAGAGUGAAAUUAGCACAUUCUAACCAGUUCUCAUCAUGGUACAGUGCAAGAGGAACUUCAAGAAUGUGUUUCACACAGUGAAGUUGUGCUUCCAGGAAAUGUUGUUCCUUGUAUGAUAAUUUAUAAGGAUGUAAAAGUGAACUUUACAUUUAAAGCGAGUGAAAAAUGAAACUGAAGAAGGAGGUUUUGUGCUGACCUUAGACCAGACAUCUGCCAGAGGAGUCACCUAGUACAAGCUCCAACCCCAUGCACAUAGUUGAAAAUGCUUUGGAAAGAAAAGUGAUAAAUUGGUUCUGGGCCACUGGAUGAUUUUCCUCAUUGUGAUGAUCUGCUAGGUGUACUUUGCAUCAGCAGGGUUGUGCAGGAUGUUGGGAUCUGGUCAGCCUCUUCAAGAGAGGAAAAACUUGUAUACCUGAAAAAAGCUUGUAAGAUUUUUCAACUAAUGGAGAAAUGUAAGCAAUUUCAACUAAUGGAGAAAUUUUAGGAUUUAGAUCUUCACUGGAAGUUCUUCUUUAUGCAUUGAUAUUCAGCAAAUAUGUGACAAAUAUUUGAGUUAAUACCCUGAUUUAUGUAAUUUCUACAGAAAUUAAUUUGAAAUAUCAAUUGCAAGAUUACUUACCCACCUGCUGUCUUACUGCUUGAGAAUAAUGUUUAUGUUCCCUUUGGUCAGAUUCUUCCCUCUCUGGAGAGAACAUGUUGUAACUUCCAGGUUGAUUAUCAAUUAAACUGGAACUAAAGAGCA